CCUACGGGAGGCAGCAGUGGGGAAUAUUGCACAAUGGGGGAAACCCUGAUGCAGCGACGCCGCGUGAGUGAAGAAGUAUCUCGGUACGUAAAGCCCUAUCAGCAGGGAAGAAAAUGACGGUACCUGACUAAGAAGCCCCGGCUAACUACGUGCCAGCAGCCGCGGUAAUACGUAGGGGGCAAGCGUUAUCCGGAUUUACUGGGUGUAAAGGGAGCGUAGACGGCAGCGCAAGUCAGGAGUGAAAUCCCGGGGCUUAACCCCGGAACUGCUUUGGAAACUGUGAGGCUAGAGUGCGGGAGGGGUAGGUGGAAUUCCUGGUGUAGCGGUGAAAUGCGUAGAUAUUAGGAGGAACACUGGUGGCGAAGGCGGCCUGCUGGACUGUAACUGACGUUGAGGCGCGAAAGCGUGGGGAGCAAACAGGAUUAGAUACCCGGGUAGUC
rnacentral:rRNA from 1 species